rnacentral:rRNA from 1 species
UACGUAGGGGGCGAGCGUUGUCCGGAUUUAUUGGGCGUAAAGAGCUCGUAGGCGGCUUGGCAAGUCGGGUGUGAAACCUCCAGGCUCAACCUGGAGACGCCACUCGAUACUGCUAUGGCUAGAGUCCGGUAGGGGACCACGGAAUUCCUGGUGUAGCGGUGAAAUGCGCAGAUAUCAGGAGGAACACCGGUGGCGAAGGCGGUGGUCUGGGCCGGCACUGACGCUGAGGAGCGAAAGCGUGGGGAGCGAACGGG